AACGAACGCUGGCGGCAUGCCUAACACAUGCAAGUCGAACGAGACCUUCGGGUCUAGUGGCGCACGGGUGCGUAACGCGUGGGAACCUGCCCUUAGGUUCGGAAUAACUCCCCGAAAGGGGUGCUAAUACCGGAUAAUGUCCUCGGACCAAAGAUUUAUCGCCUUUGGAUGGGCCCGCGUUGGAUUAGCUAGUUGGUAGGGUAAAAGCCUACCAAGGCGACGAUCCAUAGCUGGUCGGAGAGGAGGAUCAGCCACACUGGGACUGAGACACGGCCCAGACUCCGACGGGAGGGAGCAGUGGGGAAUAUUGGACAAUGGGCGAAAGCCUGAUCCAGCAAUGCCGCGUGAGUGAUGAAGGCCUUAGGGUUGUAAAGCUCUUUUACCCGGGAUGAUAAUGACAGUACCGGGAGAAUAAGCUCCGGCUAACUCCGUG
rnacentral:rRNA from 1 species